UGCCCCGGUCCGCCCCCCGAGACCGGGUUACUUGACGGCCCGCGCACACCCCCCCGAGGCGCGGGCCGUCCCUU
rfam:Corynebacterium sp. NML 130206 Clow_contig000001, whole genome shotgun sequence.